GCGAGUGAAGCGGCAAAAGCUCAAAUUUGAAAUCGGUGUGCAUAAAGUACAUCGAGUUGUAAUUUGGAGGGACAACUUCGGGCCGAACCACACCGUAAGUUUUUUGGAACAGGACAUCAUAGAGGGUGAGAAUCCCGUGUCUUGGUGUAGGGUCAAACCAUGUGAAGUGUCUCCGACGAGUCGAGUUGUUUGGGAAUGCAGCUCAAAAUGGGUGGUAAAUUUCAUCUAAAGCUAAAUAUUGGCGAGAGACCGAUAGCGCACAAGUAGAGUGAUCGAAAGAUGAAAAGCACUUUGAAAAGAGAGUUAAAAAGUACGUGAAAUUGUUGAAAGGGAAGCGCUUGCGACCAGACUCGAUCUUUGGGGAUCAGCCGGGCUUCUGUUCGGUGCCCUCUCCAUUGGUUGGGCCAGCAUCGGUUCCGACGGUGGGAUAAAAGGAGGCGGAAUGUGGCUCCCCUCGGGGAGUGUUAUAGCCACCUUCACAAUGCUACCAGUUGGGACCGAGGACCGCGCUUCGGCUAGGAUGCUGGUGUAAUGGUCUUAAGCGACCCGUCUUGAAACACGGACCAAGGAGUCUAACAUCUAUGCGAGUGUUCGGGUGGAAAACCCUUGCGCGUAAUGAAAGUGAACGGAGGUGUGAACCCUUUGCGGGGUGCAACAUCGACCGGUCCUGAUGUCUUCGGAAGGAUCUGAGUAAGAGCAUAGCUGUUGGGACCCGAAAGAUGGUGAACUAUGCCUGAAUAGGGUGAA
rnacentral:rRNA from 1 species